CUUCCUCAGUACCCUGUGCCACAGUAUGCCAUGGUGGAGGAGCCUCUCUCCUCACAAGAGCCGUCAGCCGCUUUGACGGCAAUGGGGAGGGCCAGAAUCCGUCUCCGAGACCGAGAGGAUGGCCAGAGCCUCAACGCAACAGCCGUGGAGUCGGUGAUGUCGUCAACCUCUACGAUUAGAACAAGAAUGGCCACAUUCCGCCGUUCGCGAUGAUUCCUUCCAUUUUCGGAUGAAUUCGCCUCUCCAGCAAAUGAUGACAUUUAAGGGCUUCUAUAAACUAAACACCAAGGUUGAGGGGGAUUGGGAAAAUGAUAAAAAUCGAUUACAUGUGGGUCAGAGAGAGGCAAAGCUGACGGAGCAAGCAGUGUGACCGCAAUUGAGGCGAGAGUCACGGGCGCAAAGUAAAUGAUAGCGAUUAUUAGUACGUAUAAGACAAAUUUCAGCCCGGAGAUUUUGAAAUUCAUGCUUGAACGAGGAGUAUAUGUCCUCUGCCAUGACUUCAGAUUUAAACUUAAUUAAAUUUAUGUGUGAAUUACUGGUAAA